rnacentral:rRNA from 1 species
GAUGAACGCUGGCGGCGUGCCUAAUACAUGCAAGUCGAGCGAACAGACGAGGAGCUUGCUCCUCUGACGUUAGCGGCGGACGGGUGAGUAACACGUGGAUAACCUACCUAUAAGACUGGGAUAACUUCGGGAAACCGGAGCUAAUACCGGAUAAUAUAUUGAACCGCAUGUUUCAAUAGUGAAAGACGGUUUUGCUGUCACUUAUAGAUGGAUCCGCGCCGCAUUAGCUAGUUGGUAAGGUAACGGCUUACCAAGGCAACGAUGCGUAGCCGACCUGAGAGGGUGAUCGGCCACACUGGAACUGAGACACGGUCCAGACUCCUACGGGAGGCAGCAGUAGGGAAUCUUCCGCAAUGGGCGAAAGCCUGACGGAGCAACGCCGCGUGAGUGAUGAAGGUCUUCGGAUCGUAAAACUCUGUUAUUAGGGAAGAACAAAUGUGUAAGUAACUAUGCACGUCUUGACGGUACCUAAGCAGAAAGCCACGGCUAACUACGUG